rnacentral:rRNA from 1 species
AUUGAACACUAGCGGCAGGCCUAACACAUGCAAGUCGAGCGAUCGGCGGACGGGUGAGUAAUGUCUGGGAAACUGCCAGAUGGAGUGGGAUAACUACUGGAAACGGUAGCUAAUACCGCAUCCCAUCAGAUGUGCCAAGAUGGGAUUAGCUAGUAGGUGGGGUAACGGCUACCCUAGGCGACGAUCCAUAACUGGUCUGAGAGGAUGACCAGCCACAAGGGAACUGGUACACGGUCCAGACGCCGACGGGAGGCAGCAGUGGGGAAUAUUGCACAAUGGGCGCAAGCCUUAUGCAGCCAUGCCGCUUGUGUGAAGAAGGCCGUCGGGUUGUAAAGCAUUUUCAGCGGGGAGGCGUUACCCGCAGAAGAAGCACCGGCUAACUCCGUGCCAGCAGCCGCGGUAAUUC